GAGAGGGGCUGCUCCUAGUACGAGAGGACCGGAGUGGACGCAUCACUGGUGUACCAGUUGUCUCGCCAGAGGCACUGCUGGGUAGCUAAAUGCGGAAGAGAUAAGUGCUGAAAGCAUCUAAGCACGAAACUUGCCUCAAGAUGAGUUCUCCCUGACUUAAAGUCAGUAAGGGUUGUUGGAGACGACGACGUAGAUAGGCUGGGUGUGUAAGCGGUGUGAACCGUUGAGCUAACCAGUACUAAUUGCCCGAGAGGCUUAACUAU
rfam:Avibacterium paragallinarum strain CL AvpgCL_contig_80, whole genome shotgun sequence.